GACGAACGCUGGCGGCGUGCUUAACACAUGCAAGUCGAACGGAAAGGCCCUGCUUUUGUGGGGUGCUCGAGUGGCGAACGGGUGAGUAACACGUGAGUAACCUGCCCUUGACUUUGGGGUAACAUCAGGAAACUGGGGCUAAUACCGGAUAGGAGCUCCUGCUGCAUGGUGGGGGUUGGAAAGUUUCGGCGGUUGGGGAUGGACACGCGGCUUAUCAGCUUGUUGGUGGGGUAGUGGCUUACCAAGGCUUUGACGGGUAGCCGGCCUGAGAGGGUGACCGGCCACAUUGGGACUGAGAUACGGCCCAGACUCCUACGGGAGGCAGCAGUGGGGAAUAUUGCACAAUGGGCGGAAGCCUGAUGCAGCAACGCCGCGUGCGGGAUGACGGCCUUCGGGUUGUAAACCGCUUUCGCCUGUGACGAAGCGUGAGUGACGGUAAUGGGUAAAGAAGCACCGGCUAACUACGUG
rnacentral:rRNA from 1 species